CAAAAUUCGAUUAUCGAUAUUACACGGCAAACAUUUCAGUCGCUAUCAUAUGAAUUUCAUUUCUUAUAAGACUAUUGUUUCGUGCACUUCAAGACCCUAAGAAAAAUUCACUUCUUCUUAAAAUGUAACUCUUCCGAGGGUAGAAAGAGAAGAAAAAAUCAUAUUCCUGCAGUGUGUCACUUAUUUUCAAAUGUUCAUGCCAAUUUUAUUCGGAAUACAAAAAAUAUUGCGAAAAACAAAAACUGCGAUCGUCGAAAAAACUAGAGGUUAUCUCUCGUUUUACAAACUAAUUUUUCUGUAUUCUAGGAAAAAGUCUCGCUUCCAAAAAUUGUCUCAAUUAUUUUGAAAUUUGUGGAAUUACGAGUGUGAUAAAACGAGCUCGCAACCGCACAGAAAAAGAACAGUUUAACGCGGAGUGAAUACGAAGCUGCUCCAUAUUCCAAGCUACGAAGCCAUCGCUAUUGUUCGCGAUGAACCAGCUAGAAAGAAGAAUAAAAUUGCGGGAGCAUUACCGUCAUUGAUGUUACCUUAAUGAGGAGACCCAUAUUAUUUAUCAAGCACGUAACGAUUCUUUAAUGGAUUUCCGGCGAAAGAGGCAUGAAAGAAGAGGAAUAAAACGGAUGUCAUUCAUUGAAUAAAUUGCUGUUUGCCAAGCAUUCUUCAGGCGCUAUCCGAAUCUUUACGCGACUCACGUUUUAUCGGAGAAUAUCCUGUAUCGAGAAGUCGAUGGCACAAAUCUCUUCAGCGCGAGGAUUUUUUGCAAAAGAGCUACCGCUUCGUUACCGAACCGGACUCAGAAACUAACGAACGCACGUUUUUCGGAAAGUUUUUCGUUUGAAUAAACUUUGGCAGAACUAUUAAACUACAUUUUCGCAAUUUCCGCUUUUACGGGAGCCAAAAUGGUUGGCGCAGAUAUUGGGAGCCUUGCAGCCGAUAAUAUGCACAUUUCAAAGUUUGCAAGGUAUAAGAUACAGCCUUCCUUGACCUCUUGAUCGAUCGAUGCUUUUAUCACUACUGCAUCAAGCAUCUAUUUUACGGCAGCAACAAAAGUGCGUUCGAAGAGAGGCCAUUUGCAAUGAAUUUACGAGCGAGUCAUAGGUGCUGAUCCUCGAGGAAAGCAUCGUCGAUCUCGGCGCGAAACGACUGGUCUCGUUAACCAGGAACGUCGAUCAUAGAAAAUUGCUAGUCACCACGGAAACGACCGAGUAUAUACCCAACCGCGGCGAUUUCGAUAAAACUCUGAUGACUCGUACCAGCAUCCGAUCGUCUCCCAAUCGCGGGUCGUAUGAUCGAAGGAGUCUGUCACGCACGAGCAGUCACAAACAGUGCAGAUAAGGAAAGAAAGAGAAAGGAGGAAAGAAGCGUUGCACCUCGCAAUUGUCUCGAAAGCAGCCAAAACUAAAUGCGUCGUUAUAUGCAAAAGUUAUAAGCGAGUGAAUUGCGAAACGAUUUUUGUUACGAGAAGAUUUCUUUACGUGCUCGCGCGCAAUAGAAUGGAGGGUCUUCAGAAAAGCCAGGAAUUGCUAUCGGUUGACUUCGUAAUAAAACUAUACGUGAUUUACGGGCUGCUGUACUUUCUUGUCCUUGUGCUCGACUAUUUUUUAUGGACGAGUAAAUUUUGGACUUCCCCCUUUUCGGAAUUUCGAUGGCACGGCUACGUGACAAACAGCUGUUGCAAACUCUGAACUUUUACUAUCGAAAUGUGACUUGGCGAUAUUUAUCUAUCUUCCGAUGAUCGAGAUAUACUCGCUAUUAUUUAAAUAAAUUACUAGCUAAUGUUAUA